UACGAAGGGGGCUAGCGUUGCUCGGAAUCACUGGGCGUAGAGCGCACGUAGGCGGCUUCUUAAGUCAGGGGUGAAAUCCUGGAGCUCAACUCCAGAACUGCCUUUGAUACUGAGAAGCUUGAGUCCGGGAGAGGUGAGUGGAACUGCGAGUGUAGAGGUGAAAUUCGUAGAUAUUCGCAAGAACACCAGUGGCGAAGGCGGCUCACUGGCCCGGUACUGACGCUGAGGUGCGAAAGCGUGGGGAGCAAACAGG
rnacentral:rRNA from 1 species